GACGAACGCUGGCGGCGUGCUUAACACAUGCAAGUCGAACGAUGAAGCCGGAGCUUGCUCUGGUGAAUUAGUGGCGAACGGGUGAGUAACACGUGAGUAACCUGCCCUUGACUCUGGGAUAACUGCUAGAAAUGGUAGCUAAUACCGGAUACGACCCUCGGAGGCAUCUCCAGGGGGUGGAAAGAAUUUCGGUCAAGGAUGGACUCGCGGCCUAUCAGCUAGUUGGUGAGGUAACGGCUCACCACGGCGACGACGGGUAACCGGCCUGAGAGGGUGACCACCAACACUGGGACUGAGACACGGCCCAGCCUCCUACGGGAGGCAGCGGUGGGGAAUAUUGCACAAUGGGCGCAAGCCUGAUGCAGCAACGCCGCGUGAGGGAUGACGGCCUUCGGGUUGUAAACCUCUUUUAGUAGGGAAGAAGCGAAAGUGACGGUACCUGCAGAAAAAGCACCGGCUAACUACGUGCCAGCCGCCGCCGUAA
rnacentral:rRNA from 1 species